rnacentral:rRNA from 1 species
CCUACGGGAGGCAGCAGUAGGGAAUAUUGCACAAUGGGCGAAAGCCUGAUGCAGCAACGCCGCGUGCGCGACGAAGGCCUUCAGGUCGUAAAGCGCUUUUCGGGGAGAUGAGGAAGGACAGUAUCCCCGGAAUACGGCUCGGCUAACUACGUGCCAGCAGCCGCGGUAAU